rnacentral:rRNA from 1 species
AUGCGGCACCACCUUGAUGUACUAGUGAUCGAUGGCGAACUUGCUGGCGAUGGCGUUCCUGAUCUCAGCAGCAUUGAUGCGAGGGCGGUUUCCCCCAAGCCAGACCAGCGUGCCCAGGUUGGAGAGGGAGGCGGCGCUGGCCUCCAUUGCCGGCGUGGAGGUGAUGACCACAUGGGCCUCCUCCGGGCGCAGCGAGGGAUCACCAACGCGCGGCAUCACAGACGCAAGGGGGCUCUGGGGUUGGGGGCGACAAAAGCUGGAACUGCGCCGAACUUGGGGAUGCAGGGAGUGCGGCUGGCGUUGGUGAAGCACUCCUUGAAGACUGGGGCGGGGAGGCGGGCGGCACACUGCAGUCGCGAGCGCGGUGGCCACAACGCCUACACGCCCGGCACUUGA